rnacentral:rRNA from 1 species
AACGGGGGGAACGAGUCUUAAUUCGGCAUAAUUGGGCAUAAAGGGUCUGUAGGCUGUUUCUUAAGCUUUAAAAGAUAAAUGCUAAACUGGCCACAGCAAGCAUCUUUUGGAACUGAGAAGCUUUUUGAGGACGGGUGAAGGUAAUGGUACUCUCAAUGAAGAGGGUGAAAUUCGAAGAAAUUGACGAGGACGAGCCAAAGGUGAAGACAAUUACCUAGAAACGGAAACCUGACGCUGAGGGACGAAAGCAUGGGGAGCAAACAGUUU